rnacentral:snRNA from 1 species
ACACCGAUAGUGAAUGUC